rnacentral:rRNA from 1 species
UACGAAGGGGGCUAGCGUUGCUCGGAAUCACUGGGCGUAAAGCGUACGUAGGCGGCUUCUUAAGUCAGGGGUGAAAUCCUGGAGCUCAACUCCAGAACUGCCCUUGAUACUGAGGAGCUCGAGUCCGGAAGAGGUGAGUGGAACUGCGAGUGUAGAGGUGAAAUUCGUAGAUAUUCGCAAGAACACCAGUGGCGAAGGCGGCUCACUGGCCCGAUACUGACGCUGAGGCACGAAAGCGUGGGGAGCAAACAGG